UACGUAGGUCCCGAGCGUUGUCCGGAUUUAUUGGGCGUAAAGCGAGCGCAGGUGGUUUAUUAAGUCUGGUGUAAAAGGCAGUGGCUCAACCAUUGUAUGCAUUGGAAACUGGUAGACUUGAGUGCAGGAGAGGAGAGUGGAAUUCCAUGUGAAGCGGUGAAAUGCGUAGAUAUAUGGAGGAACACCGGUGGCGAAAGCGGCUCUCUGGCCUGUAACUGACACUGAGGCUCGAAAGCGUGGGGAGCAAACAGG
rnacentral:rRNA from 1 species